rnacentral:misc_RNA from 1 species
AGACACCUGGAGGUCAAAGAGAGAAGCGUCCUACAGAAAUGUCUGCUGGUCCUGCGGCUGUUCGAGGUCGUGUUCGGAGUGCUGUUCUUUCUUGUGACUCUGCUGGUGUUUGUGUCACUGUUACUCACAAACAUUGACAAAGCCAUACAUAGCUUGGGCUACAAGUCUGGGUAUGCCUUACCCCAGAGAAACCUCCCAAACCCUGUGGAUAUAGUUCUAGUCUUCUGUCAGAAGGUGUUUCCUCUGGACUACAUCAUGUUUGCUGCCUUGGUCCUGUACCUGGUUUUCUGCUCUAUGUCCGGUGUCAGGAACAUCGGCAUCUGGUUCCUCUGGCUCAGGAUGUACAAGAUCCGCCCACGAAGGACACGCCCCCAGGGCAUCCUGAUGAUGUGCAUGAUCAUGAUGUUUUUGACGCUAGCCAUCAACAUCAUCAUCUAUGAGCUGACCCCUCAAUACUCCUCGUUUGGCAGCCAGAGAUAUGUGAUAAGUAAAGGGAAUUCCUCUCAUGUUGAAAUUGUAUCAUGUACUGCCGAAGCAACAGCAGAUGACUGCACCGUCACCAGAAUGACCCUGCUGUUGACCAGUUUCUUCUACAGGAUGUGGUUCUUUGGAGCAGCAUAUUACUGGGGGACUUGGGUGUUCCUGGGGUUUAUCCUGAUUGGGUUCAUCAUUUCUGUGAUCAAGAAGAGGAGGUCUGCCAUUGAUGGUGAGGUGGAUGCUGAUGAUUUUGAUGACAGUGAUGAGGAAUUGUUAACAGGAUAACUCCUCCUGACAAACACUUUAAUUGACCUUACCACAAGGAUUUUCUUCUAAAUACAAAGUAAUUCAUAUUAAUGAUGUUCUUUUUAAUGUAUACAUGUGAACUAGUUAAUUUUCAAACCUUCAGAGCAUGUAUAAAUAUGUGCAGAUAUACAUGUAUUGACAUUUCAAUUUUCCGUGUAUCCUGCAAGAGAGAGAGAGAGAGAGAGAGAGAGAGAGAGAUAGAGAGAGGGGAAGGAGAGAGAUUUGCAUAAUGUUUUCAGUUGUGUUUUCAUAUUGUUUUUCUAUGUAUAAAUGUAUUUGUAUGCUUACUUUCUAUGUAUUUAUAAUUAUGUUUUCUAUAAUUUGUUAAAAAAAAGUGUCUUCAGAUUUAUUUAUAAUGAUGAGUGCUAAUAAAGGUAGUUACUCUGGUUAAACCAUGUUUUGCAUGAU